UACGUAGGGUGCGAGCGUUGUCCGGAAUUAUUGGGCGUAAAGAGCUCGUAGGCGGUUUGUCGCGUCGGCCGUGAAAUCUCCACGCUUAACGUGGAGCGUGCGGUCGAUACGGGCAGACUUGAGUUCGGCAGGGGAGACUGGAAUUCCUGGUGUAGCGGUGAAAUGACGCAGACUAGUCAGGAGGAACACCGGUGGCGAAGGCGGGUCUCUGGGCCGAUACUGACGCUGAGGAGCGAAAGCGUGGGGAGCGAACAGG
rnacentral:rRNA from 1 species